CGAGGUGAGUAAUGUCUGGGAAACUGCCUGAUGGAGGGGGAUAACUACUGGAAACGGUAGCUAAUACCGCAUAACGUCGCAAGACCAAAGAGGGGGACCUUCGGGCCUCUUGCCAUCGGAUGUGCCCAGAUGGGAUUAGCUAGUAGGUGGGGUAACGGCUCACCUAGGCGACGAUCCCUAGCUGGUCUGAGAGGAUGACCAGCCACACUGGAACUGAGACACGGUCCAG
rnacentral:rRNA from 1 species